UCCCUCACGCAGGUCCAGAUCUCUCUCUCUCUCACCGCACGAUCUCUCUCCCUUCUCUUCUUCUUCUCUUCUCCCUUCUUCCUCCCUCUCUCGGCUCUGUCACGCGCAGCACCCUUCUCCUCUCUUUCUUCCUUUUCUUUUCCUCCUUCCUUUUUUUUCCUCUCCAGCAACGCAACCACCCCCCCCCCCCCCCCCCCCCCCCCCCCGUUCCACACGCAGCCUGACCCCCUCCACUGCAUUCCUCCUUCUCUCCUUCCGGUUUCACAGCACGAUCUCCCUCUCCCCUCUCCCAUUUUCUUCCUCCUUUCUCUUCGUAUCACUCACGCACUCCCAAAAGAAGAGACACAUGGAGACCGGGUGGAGAGCAGUUUGUGAGAAUGAGAUUUUGAGAUGGAGAGUGUGAUGGGUUCCGGCCAUGGGAAUUUUUGUAAGGAUAGUGUCCGGAUUGGAGACCUCAAUUGAUUCUCCAAUGUAGAGUCCAAGUGACUAGAAUCUGAGAGGAUGUUCAGGUCAAAGAGUCUAAUGCAGCCAGAUGAUGUCCUUUUGGCUGCAGGUACUCGGGUUGUAGUUGAUGAGGGUCGUAGACGUGCAUUUGGGAUAUUAUGACCGAAGCUUGCCGCGAUGGUCGUAAUUGUGCGACCAUGGGCGUCCUCAGUUUUAUAGGUUUUGUUGUGGCUUGUGACGCAUGUGUCACUCGUUAUUGUAUUAAGCCAUUCUGUUAUGUAUUUAUAUUGUGGAAAGACGUAAACACAUAGAUAUUAAAUGGCUCUUGUUGUUAUUAAUUUAUGAUAGAUGUUCAAGAUUUGAUUUC